GAGAAGGACGAUUUUCGGGUGACCUAUUCUAUCGUUAGGGUAUUGAGAGUAGUGGUGGCGAAAAAUAAAACCAAACACUGCAGUUUCGAGCAGAAUGUUGUACCGAAAACGGCUUCAAUAAACAUUUUCCUGCUGCACAA